CGUCACGUCACGUGCGUGACGGUGUUUACAGCAGCCGGCGGCGGUUGCUUGGCAACCGGGUAGGGCCCGAUCGGGGCUCCAGUCGCGGCUGAGGCUGCGGCCUCUUUGUUCCGGGCCCUUCUCGUCCCUCGUCCGGGGCUCUCCUCAUCCUCGGAGGAGAUGAGGGGCCGGCCGCAGAGGGUUUUAAUAGCUGCUACUUUUCCACUGAGCUGUUCCUGGUUACAUGCUACUGUGAACAUGCCUGUCAAGCAGAAUGGUGUUUGGACCAAUAUACACAUAGUUACAAAAUUAAGUGCAACAAAACAGCUCCAGGAUAUAUUAUCCAUUCUGGAGAUAACACUGCAUCCCCCCUUAACUUGCAAUGCUUACCUCAUCUUCAUAGGGAUGACUGUAUGCUGA
rnacentral:lncRNA from 1 species